rnacentral:rRNA from 1 species
CUUAGUGGCGGACGGGUGAGUAACGCGUGAGGAACCUGCCUUUCAGUGGGGGACAACAGUUGGAAACGACUGCUAAUACCGCAUAAUGUACUUUGGGGGCAUCCCCGAGGUACCAAAGAUUUAUUGCUGAAAGAUGGCCUCGCGUCUGAUUAGAUAGUUGGUGGGGUAACGGCCCACCAAGUCGACGAUCAGUAGCCGGACUGAGAGGUUGAACGGCCACAUUGGGACUGAGAUACGGCCCAGACUCC